rnacentral:rRNA from 1 species
UACGUAGGUGGCAAGCGUUGUCCGGAUUUACUGGGCGUAAAGAGCGCGCAGGCGGUCGUUUAAGUCGAAUGUGAAAGCCCCCGGCUCAACUGGGGAGGGUCAUUCGAUACUGAUCGACUUGAAGGCAGGAGAGAGAAGUGGAAUUCCCGGUGUAGUGGUGAAAUGCGUAGAUAUCAGGAGGAACACCGGUGGCGAAGGCGCACAUCUGGCCCGAUACUGACGCUGAGGCGCGAAAGCUAGGGGAGCAAACGGG